UCCGGUUGAUCCUGCCGGACCCGACUGCUAUUUGGGUGAGAAUAAGCCAUGCGAGUCGAAUGGGAUACCUAAAUUUCCCAUGGCAAACUGCUCAUUAACACAUGAUCAACUUACCCUAUAGAGAAAAAUAACCUCGGGAAACUGAGGAUAAUAUUUCGUAGUUGAAUAGGCUUGGAAAAGUUUUUCAAUAAAAGGGAUAAAAAAAAUGGUUUUUAUCUGCUAUAGGAUAGGAUCGUGGACGAUUAUGGUUGUUGGUGAGGUAACGGCUCACCAAGCCGAUAAUCGAUAGGGGCCGUGAGAGCGGGAGCCCCGAGAUGGGUACUGAGACAACGACCCAGGCCUUACGAGGCGCAGCAGGCGCGGAACCUCCGCAAUACACGAAAGUGUGACGGGGUUACCCAAAGUGUUCAAUUCUGAACUGUGGUAGGUGAGUAAUGUUCCCUACUAGAAAGGAGAGGGCAAGGCUGGUGCCAGCCGCCGCGGUAAAACCAGCUCUUCAAGUGGUCGGGAUAAUUAUUGGGCUUAAAGUGUCCGUAGCCGGUUUAGUAAGUUCCUGGUAAAAUCGGGUAGCUUAACUAUCCGUAUGCUAGGAAUACUGCUAUACUAGAGGGCGGGAGAGGUCUGAGGUACUACAGGGGUAGGGGUGAAAUCUUAUAAUCCUUGUAGGACCACCAGUGGCGAAGGCGUCAGACUGGAACGCGCCUGACGGUGAGGGACGAAAGCCAGGGGAGCAAACCGGAUUAGAUACCCCCGUAGUCC
rnacentral:rRNA from 1 species